rnacentral:tRNA from 1 species
UCCCCCAUGGUGUAAUUGGUAACACACUUGUUUUUGGUACAAGCGUUUGAGGUUCAAGUCCUUAUGGGGGAA